rnacentral:sRNA from 2 species
AUGGCAUGGAGCUUUGUCCUCUCAUAGUUUUUUUUUACUUUGCGUAGGUUGGCUUUUAAAAAGCAUGUUGGGUAGUUAGUUACGUAGUUAACUAUGUAGGCUCGCUCAGGGGAAAAAAAAAAUUGUUUGCUCUUACCUGUAAAACUUAGAUUGAGCCCUAUACUAACUAACUACACUACAACUAAAACUACCCGUUUUGACGAAUUUGUGGAGAAGUUGGAAGAGGAAGGGUUUUGGUUCCGUGCUGGGGUAUUCAAUGUAAUAUCUCUUUUCUAUAUAUCUAUCUAUCUAACUAUUUGUAUAUAUAUAUAUAUAUAUAUAUUUAUAUUUAAGGGGAAAGAGGGAAUAUGUGUGAUAUUUUUGGCUUAAAAGAUGGGAGUAAAUAAAUUAAAUAGCUAAGUAAAAUACAAGGUAUGGAAACUGUUAACAUACGCAGCGGCAGCCACUUUUGGCCGGUGAGAUUUUUCUUUUAUACUUUCUUUACUGUAGUUAUAAACAACAGUGGACUCCGUGCUCCGUACGGUACAUAGAAGCUUCAACAAAAACGAUCGGAGGGAAUUCCCGUGCCAAUGAUAUAAAGUCCUAGACGGGAUGAGAGCAAAGUCAAAGAGACAGUCUUCCAGGCACCCCCCUUCCCACAAAAACAAAACCAAAAAAAGACAUACAGUCUCUAUCUGCACGUAUCUACAGUAGGAUGUAGAAUGGGAGAUAUGAAAGGGGCG